AGAGUUUGACCCUGGCUCAGGAUGAACGCUAGCGGCAGGCCUAACACAUGCAAGUCGAGGGGUAGAUGUCUUCGGAUAUCGAGACCGGCGCACGGGUGCGUAACGCGUAUGCAACCUGCCUUCCACAAAGGGAUAGCCCAGAGAAAUUUGGAUUAAUACCUUAUAGCAUUGCGGAAUGGCAUCAUUUCGUAAUUAAAGAUUUAUCGGUGGAAGAUGGGCAUGCGUCCCAUUAGCUUGUUGGUAAGGUAACGGCUUACCAAGGCAAUGAUGGGUAGGGGUCCUGAGAGGGAGAUCCCCCACACUGGUACUGAGACACGGACCAGACUCCUACGGGAGGCAGCAGUGAGGAAUAUUGGACAAUGGGCGCAAGCCUGAUCCAGCCAUGCCGCGUGCAGGAUGAAGCAUCUAUGGUGUGUAAACUGCUUUUAUACGGGAAGAAACCCCGCCUCGUGAGGCGGACUGACGGUACCGUAAGAAUAAGGACCGGCUAACUCCGUGCCAGCAGCCGCGGUAAUACGGAGGGUCCAAGCGUUAUCCGGAAUCAUUGGGUUUAAAGGGUCCGUAGGCGGCCUUGUAAGUCAGUGGUGAAAUCUCCCGGCUCAACCGGGAAAUGGCCAUUGAUACUGCAGGGCUUGAAUUAUUGGGAAGUAACUAGAAUAUGUAGUGUAGCGGUGAAAUGCUUAGAUAUUACAUGGAAUACCGAUUGCGAAGGCAGGUUACUAUCAAUAUAUUGACGCUGAUGGACGAAAGCGUGGGUAGCGAACAGGAUUAGAUACCCUGGUAGUCCACGCCGUAAACGAUGGAUACUAGCUGUUCGGGGCAACCUGAGUGGCUAAGCGAAAGUGAUAAGUAUCCCACCUGGGGAGUACGUUCGCAAGAAUGAAACUCAAAGGAAUUGACGGGGGCCCGCACAAGCGGUGGAGCAUGUGGUUUAAUUCGAUGAUACGCGAGGAACCUUACCAGGGCUUAAAUGUGGCCUGACAGGACCGGAAACGGUUUUUCCUUCGGGCAGGUCACAAGGUGCUGCAUGGUUGUCGUCAGCUCGUGCCGUGAGGUGUCAGGUUAAGUCCUAUAACGAGCGCAACCCCUGUCGUUAGUUGCCAGCGAGUCAUGUCGGGAACUCUAACGAGACUGCCAGUGCAAACUGAGAGGAAGGUGGGGAUGACGUCAAAUCAUCACGGCCCUUACGCCCUGGGCUACACACGUGCUACAAUGGACGGUACAGAGAGCAGC
rnacentral:rRNA from 1 species